AACAGAACCUAAAAUAAAAUUUUAUUAAAUUUAAUUGAACCUUUUAACGUAAAAAAUAAAUACAUACCACUUUGAGAUCCAGCAUUAGUAUUCAUUGCAGCUUCUAAUGUCCAAAUAUUUUUAACAGUAGGAGGAACACCAGUUCAGAAUCAUCAACUUCAAAUCUGUACCAUUCUGAAUUCCAUUGGGGAUUAAGUGAUUUUCUACAUACAUCCGUUUUAAAUGUUAUAUUGCCAAAUUUCAAUUCGACAUAUGCAUCCGUCGUAUCACCAGAACGAUCCAUUACUGGCAGAUUGCGACCCGCCAGUAUUUUCACUUUUAUUUUGCCUGGCAUCGUGACGGAUAAUAUCUUCAAUAAAAUGCUGUAAUUAAUGUAUUAUAAUUUUUAUAAUUAUAAAAAAGAAAUUUAGACAAUAUAUUAUUAUUUUUAAUCGAACAAUGCAUUUGUUUGUAUAUAUUUUAAUAAUAAAGGUUAUGUUUUGAUAGUAUAA